rnacentral:rRNA from 1 species
AGUGAACGCUGGCGGUAGGCCUAACACAUGCAAGUCGAACGGCAGCACAGUAAGAGCUUGCUCUUACGGGUGGCGAGUGGCGGACGGGUGAGGAAUACAUCGGAAUCUACUUUUUCGUGGGGGAUAACGUAGGGAAACUUACGCUAAUACCGCAUACGACCUACGGGUGAAAGCAGGGGAUCUUCGGACCUUGCGCGAUUGAAUGAGCCGAUGUCGGAUUAGCUAGUUGGCGGGGUAAAGGCCCACCAAGGCGACGCUCCGUAGCUGGUCUGAGAGGAUGAUCAGGCACAAGGUGACAGAGGCACGGUCGAGACUACGACGGAAGGCAGCAGUGGGGAAUAUUGGAAUAUGGGGGCAAGCCUGAUCCAGCCAGACCGCGAGGGUGAAGAAGGCCAUGGGGUUGUAAAGCCCGUUUGUUGGGAAAGAAAAGCAGCAGGUUAAUACCCCGCUGUUCGGACGGGACCCAAAGAAUAAGCAGCGGCUAACGUCG